rnacentral:rRNA from 1 species
UACGGGGGGGGCAAGCGUUGUUCGGAAUUACUGGGCGUAAAGGGCUCGUAGGCGGCCAACUAAGUCAGACGUGAAAUCCCUCGGCUUAACCGGGGAACUGCGUCUGAUACUGGAUGGCUUGAGUUUGGGAGAGGGAUGCGGAAUUCCAGGUGUAGCGGUGAAAUGCGUAGAGAUCCGGAAGAAUACCGGUGGCGAAGGCGGCCUGCUGGGCAGUGGCUGACACUGAGGCGCGACAGCGUGGGGAGCAAACAGG